GUGGGUCUGAGACACCGCCAAGUCCUUUGGGUUUUAAGCUGUGCUCGUAGUACCCUGGCGGAUGUAUUUGUAGUUUAACAUCUGGGUUUAGGGCUAA
rnacentral:rRNA from 1 species